UUUACUUUGGCAGAAUAGUGUAUUAAAUUUAGAAUUUAAAAAUAAGUUUUUAAAAUUUAAGUAAAA
rnacentral:tRNA from 1 species